rnacentral:rRNA from 1 species
AUGGGGGAUUUCAACGAGAUUUUAUCUAAUAGUGAGAAAGAAGGAGGGAACCCACAGCCACACCAAUAUAUUCAGGAGAUUCAAGAAUCAUUAAAUGACUGCGAGCUAAUUGACUUAGGAUAUACAGGGGACAAGUUUACAUGGUUCAGAGGGAGCAUCAAGGAAAGACUGGACAGGGGUGUUGGUAACUUAAUGUGGCAGCAGUUUUAUCCAAACUCAGUUAUCCAGAAUCUGGAGUAUGGGCACUCUGGCCAUAGACCUUUGCUUCUGGACACUGAGAUUCAUCAAGGAAGUUCGCCCCUAAUGGGCCAGAAAAAGUUUGAAGCAAGCUGGCUCCUGGAGGCCCAGUUUGCGGAUAAAGUCCAACGUGCUUGGCAAGAGGCUAAUUUACACGCAGACGGUCCUGGGGUCAUGGCAAAAUUACGACAUAUGCAAAACUCUUUCCAUGACUAG